AGUCGCGGAAGCGUGGCGGGCCGGCUGGGAUUGGGGCGGGAUUGAGGGUGACAGCUGAGCGUUUAAAGGGCCGGGGUCAGUUGACGAAUCCAGCCCGCGUCUAGUCCUGGGGGGCCAGGGUCUCUGCUGCCGCGAGGGAGAGAUGACUGCGGAGCGACCCGGCACAGUGCCCCUGGGCAGACCCGGGAGACCGCGAAUGCUGGGAUCAUGGGGAGUCUGUAGGGUUCAGGUGUUUGCCGCGAUCUUCCUGCUGCUGUUGUCUUCAGCAGGAGUCGGGGCCAGGGCAAAGGACGACUUCAGUCUGGUUCGUCCGCUUGUGACCAUGGAGCAACUGCUGUGGGUGAGCGGGAAGCAGAUCGGCUCUGUGGACACCUUCCGCAUCCCGCUCAUCACCACCACUCCUCGGGGCACUCUCCUUGCCUUUGCUGAGGCCAGGAAAAUGUCAGCAUCGGAUAAAGGAGCUAAGUUCAUUGCUCUGCGGAGGUCCACGGACCAGGGCAGCACAUGGUCUCCAACAGCUUUCAUUGUGGACGAUGGGGAGAGCCCAGAUGGGCUGAACUUGGGGGCAGUGGUGAGCGAUACAACAACAGGAGUGGUCUUCCUUUUCUACUCCCUCUGUGCUCACAAGGCUGGCUGCCAGGUGGCCUCCACCAUGCUGGUGUGGAGCAAGGAUGACGGCAUUUCCUGGAGUUCGCCUCGGAACCUCUCCUUGGACAUAGGCACUGAGAUGUUUGCCCCCGGACCGGGCUCUGGCAUUCAGAAACAGCGGGAGCCUCGGAAGGGCCGGCUCAUUGUGUGUGGCCACGGGACGCUGGAGCGGGACGGGGUCUUCUGCCUCCUCAGCGAUGACCGCGGCGCCUCCUGGCACUAUGGGAGUGGGGUCAGCGGCAUCCCCUAUGGCCAGCCCAAGCGGGAAAAUGAUUUCAGCCCCGACGAGUGCCAGCCCUUUGAGCUCCCCGAUGGCUCAGUGGUCAUCAAUGCCCGGAACCAGAACAACUACCACUGCCGCUGCCGAAUCAUCCUCCGCAGCUAUGAUGCCUGUGAUACUCUGAGGCCCCGUGAUGUGACCUUUGACCCUGAGCUCGUGGACCCUGUGGUAGCCGCAGGAGCUGUGGCCACCAACUCCGGCAUUGUCUUCUUCUCCAACCCAGCCCAUCCAGAGUUCCGAGUGAACCUGACCCUGCGCUGGAGCUUCAGCAAUGGCACCUCAUGGCAGAAGGAGACGGUUCAGCUGUGGCCGGGGCCCAGUGGCUACUCCUCACUGGCAACCCUGGAGGGCAGUGUGGGCGGGGAGGACCAGGCCCCUCAACUCUAUGUCCUGUAUGAGAAAGGCCGGAAACAGUACAUAGAGAGCAUCUCCCUGGCCAAAGUCAGCGUCUAUGGGACACUCUGAGCUGUACACCUGCCAAGGGGAUAGAAGGCCCUGGACUCAGCCUCAGGACCAUGGGUCUGUAGAGGGUCUACUGGAGGAGCCUAGAAGACGGUUCCACCUUCCUUUAGAGUCUAGCGUUUUGCAAAAUCAACUUCUCUUUGACAGGGAAAUCAUUCCUUAGGACUAAAAACCUGGCUUCUCCCACAUAGGAAGAGCUGCCCACACGUGGGAGCACUUCUCUUCCACAUUGCUGGGUCUGCCCUCUCAGGGCAAUGAUUGGUCCUUUUCUUGGACAGGGCUAGGUGGGCCUGUAGCAUUAAAUAAAUGUGAACUCAGGGAAUUGGGGAAGGCUUACCUCUUUGGGGUAAGAUACUGGCUUUGGAGAGAGUUGGUGAAAGUUCCAGAAGGGCAGGACAUUUGGUUUCAAGGUAAGGAACGAGGUGCACCACCCACUUUGACUAUGUAUGAAUCAAAAUGUUUAUAACUUAACGUUCUUAAUGAAGGAGAAUGAAUAUUUGCAGAGUCUCUGUGGUUCUGUCAGUGCACAUCUUCAUGUCUGUUUUCCUCGUGCACACUUGUGGGACUGGGAGUGAGUUUUGGGGAGGAAGCUGGUGUGCUUAUUGCCUGUGAAAAUCUGUGACUUUGGCAAAUCAGAUCCUCCUUUCUUUUUCGCAUUCCUUCUUAUCACAGAAAUACAACUUGCUCUUAACAAGUGUAAUGAGGGGAAGGAGGAGGAGCCUCAUAAGAUAAUUAAAAACUGGCUGUUUUGUAUUUCUAAGGUGGGGUGAGAUACUGUCCUCCAUGAAACAGGGAGCAGGUGUGUUAAAUGCAGAUGAGAAGCCUCUCCCAGGCCAGCCUGGCAGAGAAAUGAGCACUGUGGCAAUUAUGUGACACAACAACAUCUCAUCCUAAAGGAGAUGCUGUGAAAAGAACAGCUGAGUGGGACAGCCACAGCUUUUCUCCAUAUGGAAAGAAAAUGCAAUGCCCGGAUGAGACGAAGAAUGUCAGCAAAUAAGUGUAGCAAGAAUAAUCAAAGUGGAAAAUCAUCAUUUUGCAAACUUGAGUGAAAAUUCCCAUUUGAAAGGUGCCCUCCCUGAACCAGGAGUACAAGAAGUUGGCGACCAAGAGAAUUCUAUACAAACAGAACUUGUUGGGAAUUCCCUGGUGGUCCAGUGGUUAGGACUCAGCGCUUUCACUGCCAUGGGCCCAGGUUCAAUCCCUGGUUGGGAAACUAAGAUCCCACCAAAAAAAAAAAAAAAAACACAGAGCUUGUUAAAAGUAAUUCUUACCUUCUUUAGCCAACCCCCAUAGUUUAGACACUUUUCCACAAUUGUCUCUUUUGUUCAACCUUACGUAAAAGCAAGUAUGCCAUGUCUUUGGGUUUUCAUUUCUUUAUGAAGUCUCAUGUCAUGUAAAACUUAAAUAAAUGUGUAUGCCUUUCUCCUGUUAAUCUGUCUUUGUCAGGUUGAUUUUCAAACCCAGCCAGGGACCCUAAGAGGGUCAAGGAAAACUAUUUCCUCCCCUACACAGGCAAAGAUCAUCAGUGGAUGCCAAAAUCAUUAGGUUAAGGUUGAUGGAGACUGGAUAUUCAUUCACAAGAUGCUGAAACCAAGGGUAGUCAGCCAUUAGCCAUUAAUAAAUAAUAAACUGUAACCUGCCUUCACUGAUCAAGCUCACUCCAUUUUUACAAAAAACUUGCAUGUCCUCUGAGCAUCACAUAGCCUAAACAGUGUUUGCCCAAAUUGUUUUUUUGAGAUUUGGAGUUGUCUGUGUCCAGUUCAAGAUAGAACCAGUUAAGACUGGUUAAGACCACUGACCUUCCAUCUGGGCAUGCAGAGUGUCUGGGCACAGAGUGUCUGCUCCGUGACAUUUUGACAUCAGAAGGACAAAAAAUUCACCCUCAGCGCAUACUAACACAGCCAUUUUCUGAACAUAGGUCCCAAGAAGAAACCUGUAGCUUAGUUGUGUCUGUGCAGAACGUUGAUUGAGCACCUUUCUCUUAUCUCUAAUUACCUUUCCCCGCACCUCAGCUUUAUCCUAUGAAUACCCCAAGCCCCUUGCCUUUUUGGGAAGAAAAUUUGAGACUUGUUCUCUCAUCCCGUCAGUUGGCUGCCUUGUGGAUAAACUGUCUGCUGCAAACCUAGCGUUUGGCUUGCUGCGCAUCAGGCAAACAAACCUGGUUUGGUAACAGUGCCAAAGAAUUAACCCAUCUUGCCACUCACAAGGGUGAAAAGCACCUCUACAAUGAAGAGAUCCUGGGGGUCACUACUGUAACCGGGCGAUCAAACUAAGGUCAAGAAUAAAAAAAAAAAAAAAAAAAGAAUAAUGGAACCAGGGUGGGAGGGAGAUGCAAGAGGGAGGAGAUAUGGGGAUAUAUGCAUAUGUUUAGCUGAUUCACUUUGUUAUAAAGCAGAAACUAACACACCAUUGUAAAGCAAUUAUACUCCAAUAAAGAUGUUAAAAGUUAAAAAUAAAAAAGAAUAAUGGAACAAAUAGACUUUAUAAUCCCCCUGACACAAGGCCCUGUGAAGUAUAUAGCACGUGGUAGACUGAAAAAAUGAUCCCCUAAAAGAUAUCCAUGCUCUAACGCCUGGAACCUGUGAAGGCUAUCUUAUACAGGGAUAAAGAGGGUCUUUACAGAUUGAUUAAAUCAAGGGUCUUGCGAUGGGGAGAUAAUUCUGGAUUAUCUGGGAGGGCUCUAAAUGAAAUUGCAUAUAUCGUUAUAAGAGGGAGGCAGAAGAGGAUGCAAUACACACAAGUGAAGAGGAGGAGGCAGCAUGACACAGAGGCAGAGAUUGGAGUGAUGUGGCCAUGAGCCAAGUUAUGCCAGCAGCCACCAGACGCUGGAAGAGACAAGGAACAGAUUCUCCCAUAGUGUCUCUGGAGGGGGCAAGGCCCUGUGGACACCUUGAUUUUUGCCCAGUGAAACUGUUUUGAACUUCUGGCCUCCAGCAUUGUGAAGGAAUAAAUAUCUGUUGCUUUAAACCACCAAGUUUGUGGUAAUUUGUUACAGCAGCCAUACAUGGUGUCGUUCAUGAAGUAUUCUUGCCCAAACCAUGUAAUCAGAAUCUAAUUAGGUCUUUAAGGGAAUUCCCUGGUGGUCCAGUGGUUUGAUCCCUGGUUGGGGAGCUAAGAUCCCGCAGGCUGUGUGGUGCAGCCAAAAAAAAAAAAAAAUCUAAUUAGUCCUUUAAGUAUAACUUCCAGGUUAAAGAAAAUGCAGAAAGUUGAGGAACAAGUUAAAAACACCAAGAGAGCACAGUUAGAUGAAGCCAACAUGUGGAAUGUUCUACAAGACAACUGGCCUAGUCUCUUCAAAGGAUCAUUGUCACAGAAAGAAGGGGACUGUUCUAGAAUCAAGAGACUAACAAGGGACUUCCCUGGUGGUCCAGUGGUAAAGAAUCCACCUUCCAAUGCAGAGGACACAGGUUCGAUACCUGGUCGGGGAACUAGGAUCCCACAUGCCACGGGGCAACUAAGCCCGUGUACCACAACUAGAGAGAGAAAACCCGCACGCCACAACUAGAGAAAAGCCCGUGCGCCACAACGAAGAGCCCGCGUGCCGCAACGGAGACCCUGCCUGCCGCAAUGAAGACCCAACACAACCAAAAAUAAGAAAGUAAAUAAGUAAAGAUUAAAAAAAGAGAGAGACUAACAAGAUAUAACAGUAAAAGAAAGUGCUUGAUCCUUGAAUCAAUUAAUACUGGCUCUUUAAAAGAACAAUUAGCGGGCUUCCCUGGUGGCGCAGUGGUUGAGAGUCCGCCUGCCGAUG